UACGUAGGGUGCAAGCGUUAUCCGGAAUUACUGGGCGUAAAGCGCACGUAGGCGGAUUUGUAAGUCAGGGGUGAAAUCCCGAGGCUCAACCUCGGAACUGCCUUUGAUACUGCAAAUCUCGAGUCCGGAAGAGGUGAGUGGAAUUCCUAGUGUAGAGGUGAAAUUCGUAGAUAUUAGGAAGAACACCAGUGGCGAAGGCGGCUCACUGGCCGGUAUACGACGCUGAGGUGCGAAAGCGUGGGGAGCAAACAGG
rnacentral:rRNA from 1 species